rnacentral:rRNA from 1 species
AUUGAACGCUAGCGGGAUGCCUUACACAUGCAAGUCGAACGGAGUGGCGAACGGGUGAGUAAUGUAUCGGACCGUGCCCAGUCGCGGGGGAUAACUACGCGAACGCGUAGCUAAUACCGCAUACUAUUGGCAUGGCCUGUAUCGGUUUAGCUAGUUGGUGGGGUAAGGGCUCACCAAGGCGUCGAUCCGUAUCUGGUUUGAGAGGACGACCAGCCACACUGGGACUGAGACACGGCCCAGACUCCUACGGGAGGCAGCAGUGGGGAAUUUUGGACAAUGGGGGAAACCCUGAUCCAGCCAUCCCGCGUGUGCGAUGAAGGCCUUCGGGUUGUAAAGCACUUUUGGCAGGAAGGCGGUACCGGAAGAGAAAGCACCGGCUAACUACGUGCCAGCAGCCGCGGUAAUAC